GGCCUCGUAUCUCAGUUGACUAGAGCGUUGACUUAAAUAAAGCCUUCACCUGGCUAGCAUGGCGUGGGUUCGAAUCCCACGGAGGCCG
rnacentral:tRNA from 1 species